rnacentral:rRNA from 1 species
UACGUAGGGUGCGAGCGUUAAUCGGAAUUACUGGGCGUAAAGCGUGCGCAGGCGGUUUUGUAAGCCAGAUGUGAAAUCCCCGGGCUUAACCUGGGAAUGGCAUUUGGGACUGCAAGGCUUGAGUGCGGCAGAGGAGACUGGAAUUCCUGGUGUAGCAGUGAAAUGCGUAGAUAUCAGGAGGAACACCGAUGCGAAGGCAGGUCUCUGGGCUGACACUGACGCUCAUGCACGAAAGCGUGGGGAGCG